GCAGAGGAAUGGUUUCCAGAAAGCCAGGGCCAUGCAAACACACGUGCCCACCACACCAUCACUACCUCCAGCCCAUAAGGAGGGACGGAAACUUUUCUCUGUUUUAUAUUUUUCCCACUCUGAAUUUUAAGGGAAGAAAAUUAUAAAACCAAGAGCCUUCAUAUCCCAGGAGACAUUUAUGUUUAAGCUGGACGGAGCACUACCCCCGAAUCACAGGCAACAAUUUCACCCUGGCAGGGAAAUGGACUAAGUGACUUAAUGGAUAUUUUCCAUCUCUAAUUUCCAUGAUUAAAAGAAAGAGGUUGAGAGAGGUACAUGUGGAGCCUAUUGUGAGUUUGCCAAUGAAUCCUAAUUUAGAUCAAAGAGAGUCCAUGAGACACCGAACCAUAAACACCCUAGUGUGUGUUACUUCAAGGAAGUUGUUAGUGUGUUCCCGAUGGCUAUUAUGUGAUAUAGUUGCGCUCCAUAGCCUGCACCCUUUAAUUACUAAUACAGAAGAAAAUCCCAUAUAAGAGCGAGGAAUGUAAAUGAGACCUCUGCUCUUUUGAACCUUUUAUGCAUUUGCCAAAUUAGAGUUUGCCGUGGACUUUGGUUUUCCCUGAUCGAGGUUGGUAGAGAUCAUUUGGCUCAUGGGAUUAAAUCUGACUUUCUAAAAACUAUUUCCGAUCAGCGUGCAGAUUUCAGACCUUUAAGUGUGCUUUGCGCUGAGACAUGGAUCAUCAGAACCAGAUUGGGAACAACUUUGAAGUUUUCAAAGGUAUGGACAAUAUCCUCUUCCAUUCUCCUCUUUCCUUCAGUGUUCAAGUACAGGUUGCUUGCUGUCCCCGAGAGAGCAGCCUGCAGAGUCCAGGAGCACACUAUGUCACCAUGCUCAUAUAAGCUCCUGGUUUCUGGGCAGAGCUCCAGGCACAUGAGUCUGGAUCAGUAGAUAUGACCACACUGUUGUUCACACCGGGCUUUCAAGCCCCAUUUCAGGAAGAGAACAGCCACACAUGUCAUCUUGAACAGUAUGAGUGUAACGAUGCUUCCUUCUCUAGGGUUCUGCGGCCUGCCACCCUUGUGCAGAAAAAAAAGAAAGAAAGAAAAAGAAAAAGAAAAAAAAAAUCACUGCUAAGAUGCAAUAAACCUUAUUAUUAUUAUUUUUGGUCCUCCAAACUUCAGGAAAAGGGGUAA
rnacentral:lncRNA from 1 species